GAAGUCAACUGAGCGCCUCUGUCAAAUAAAAUUUAUAGAAAAAGAAUCCAGUCAGAAGUGUGGAAAUCUCAAAAACAUAAGUAAUAGAAUUUAUUUCAAUGGCCAUGUAGGACCCUUGAUAACAGCAUAUAUGAGCAUCUUGCAUCAAGUUGACAAUUAUGUAACAGAUAAGGGAUAGCAAAUUAACCUAACUUGGACAGGAAAAAAGAACAGAAUGGCACAAAAGAAAGGGCAUGCAUUGUCCAGGUUACUAUAAACUAGAGCCAGUACAGCUGCCAGGCAAACUCUUUAGUGGCAACCACUUGUAUCUGAUCAAAGAAUUUUCUACAUGCAUGAUGCAUGACUGUAAGGCACUUCCCAAGUCCUAAAAAUCUUAAAAUGGACAGAAGUCUCCCAACCAACUAAAAUACCCAAACUCUGUUGCUAUAUAUAUAUAGUAUCUGUGACAAAUAUUUAACGCAUGAUAACUAUCCAAUAAGUAUACCAAGUCAGUGUUCCAACUACUCACUUCUAAUGACCUGAG
rnacentral:misc_RNA from 1 species